AAAAGGCGGCGUAAGCUGUCGCUAAAGGAUGGACCCGCGGUGCAUUAGCUAGUUGGUAAGGUAACGGCUUACCAAGGCGACGAUGCAUAGCCGAGUUGAGAGACUGAUCGGCCACAUUGGGACUGAGACACGGCCCAAACUCCUACGGGAGGCAGCAGUAGGGAAUCUUCCACAAUGGGCGAAAGCCUGAUGGAGCAACGCCGCGUGAGUGAAGAAGGUUUUCGGAUCGUAAAGCUCUGCUGUUGGUGAAGAAGGAUAGAGGUAGUAACUGGCCCCUAUUUGACGGUAAUCAACCAGAAAGUCACGGCUAACUACGUGCCAGCAGCCGCGGUAAUACGUAGGUGGCAAGCGUUGUCCGGAUUUAUUGGGCGUAAAGCGAGCGCAGGCGGAAAGAUAAGUCUGAUGUGAAAGCCCCCGGCUUAACCGAGGAAUUGCAUCGGAAACUGUGUUUCUUGAGUGCAGAAGAGGAGAGUGGAACUCCAUGUGUAGCGGUGGAAUGCGUAGAUAUAUGGAAGAACACCAGUGGCGAAGGCGGCUCUCUGGUCUGUAACUGACGCUGAGGCUCGAAAGCAUGGGUAGCGAACAGGAUUAGAUACCCUGGUAGUCCAUGCCGUAAACGAUGAGUGCUAAGUGUUGGGAGGUUUCCGCCUCUCA
rnacentral:rRNA from 1 species